rnacentral:rRNA from 1 species
GCUGUGGAACUCCUACGGGAGGCAGCAGUGGGGAAUAUUGCACAAUGGAGGGAACUCUGAUGCAGCGACGCCGCGUGAACGAUGAAGGCUUUCGAGUCGUAAAGUUCUUUUAUAUGGGAAGAUAAUGACGGUACCAUAAGAAAAAGCCCCGGCUAACUACGUGCCAGCAGCCGCGGUAAUACGUAGGGGGCUAGCGUUGUCCGGAAUCACUGGGCGUAAAGGGUUCGCAGGCGGAAAUGCAAGUCAGAUGUAAAAGGCAGUAGCUUAACUACUGUAAGCAUUUGAAACUGCAUAUCUUGAGAAGAGUAGAGGUAAGUGGAAUUUUUAGUGUAGCGGUGAAAUGCGUAGAUAUUAAAAAGAAUACCGGUGGCGAAGGCGACUUACUGGGCUCAUUCUGACGCUGAGGAACGAAAGCGUGGGUAGCAAACAGGAUUAGAUACCCCGGUAGUCCUACCACGU